UGGGGAAUAUUGCACAAUGGGCGAAAGCCUGAUGCAGCGACGCCGCGUGAGGGAUGACGGCCUUCGGGUUGUAAACCUCUUUCAGUAGGGACGAAGCGCAAGUGACGGUACCUGCAGAAGAAGCACCGGCUAACUACGUGCCAGCAGCCGCGGUAAUACGUAGGGUGCGAGCGUUGUCCGGAAUUACUGGGCGUAAAGAGCUCGUAGGCGGUUUGUCACGUCGUCUGUGAAAUCCUAGGGCUUAACCCUGGACGUGCAGGCGAUACGGGCUGACUUGAGUACUACAGGGGAGACUGGAAUUUCUGGUGUAGCGGUGGAAUGCACAGAUAUCAGGAAGAACACCGAUGGCGAAGGCAGGUCUCUGGGUAGUAACUGACGCUGAGGAGCGAAAGCGUGGGUAGCAAACAGG
rnacentral:rRNA from 1 species